rfam:Dipodomys ordii contig_36160, whole genome shotgun sequence.
GGGAAGUUGGCUCAUUGGUAGAGCGCUUGCUUUGCAUGCAUGAGGCCCUGGGUUUGAUUCCUCAGCAUCACA